GCUCAUUUUAAUUUUGAAUGUAGUGUUGUACGAAUUUUCUUGUCGUCUAAAAGAAAGUAAACACUUGCCAUCAUAAACAGACUAGCGGAUGGUAACAAUAAAUUAUUUCCUGACAAUUUUCUGGUGUGUAAUCAUUUUUAUCUUUUAGACAUCUUUCGAAACUAUGAUCUGAUAUUUUGACAAAGCUUGAAGUCAGUAAAAAGAGUUCGCAUAUGAUUGUUAGAAUUUUAUUUUUACAUAACAAUAAAUUACAGCGUUGCUAUAACGAUGGAAUAAAUAAAGCACACAGUUGACCGAUGGCGUAGUAACAGUAACUGGUAAAAUACAUGUUGUAGUACACGCUCGACAAUCGAGGACGUCGUCUACUUGCCAGUUCUGAAAAAGAAGAAAGUACUUACUUCCGCCGCUUCCGAAUCCGUCCCCUCCCUGUGAUGGGACUCCGCCGAAGCCGAACUGGGCGGCAGCCAUGCCGAUGAUGCAGGCGAAAGCAAGAGCGAUAACUGCGACGGAUUUCAUGGUUGCUGAUUGGCUGGCUAUAAAUAGAAAAUCAGA